GGGAAGGUGGCUCAGUGGUAGAGUGUUUGCCUUGCAUGCAUGAGGCCCUAGGUUCGAUUCCUCAGCAUCACA
rnacentral:tRNA from 1 species